GUUGUACUUACAGAGAGAGAGAGAAAAGAAACGUUUUUCACCAUUUUCUCACGUUUCUCUCUUUCUCUCCUUCCCUCUUCUCUUUCCUGUUUUUAAUUUGCUCUCUCUUCUCUUCAAACCCUAACACCGCCGCCGUCGCUGUUGUCUCCUUUCUCCACCUUAUCUACGGCCACCACCUCCAAUGAAAAAUCUAAACCAUUUUCGUACUCCUCUUCUCAGAUCUGUUCGUUGGUCUCAUAAAUUCAAAAUCACUUUCCCUCUCACCAAAUUCCCCAGAUCCACUUUUGCCUUGAAGUAUACCCUAGAAGUUGAGACGGUUAUUGGUUCUUAGCAUUAUUGUUUUGACCGAUCAGUAUUUGUUCUGAUCAAUGUUGUUGCAAGCAUGGUUAUGCGAUUUAGAAGUUGUUAUGAGUGUGUUUGUUGCCGCUACAGCCCGGGUCAGCCUUCUCCAACAUAUUGAUCAAUCCAGAGAGUCAUUAUCAGCUCAAGUUGUUGAUGAGCAGGUCUUCAAAUACAUCAAGCAUUGGAGAGUUUGCGACAAGUAUGUAAAUCACUUUGGUCUUCAUUGCCGAUGGCUCAACAACUGGCUAUGAUUGUUACUUUACCUGUUGUUCUGCUUUUCUUCUUUCAUAUCCUCCUCAUUAAAAAGCACAUAUGAUUAAAUUGUAGUUAUGAGGGAGCUGGAGCAAGAGCAGGAACAACAGCUAGGAGUUGGAGGCCAGCAAAGUCCCCAAAUGUCAACCAUUAGCUCAUUUACUGGGUUGAGCAUUGUAAGCUCCUUCAAUGCUUUAUCACUGAUAUCAGUUACUCCUUACACACCAUUUUGCAUAUCCAAAAUUUUCAUUUUUUGUUUGCUUUCAACUUUUGCAGUUUUUAUAUAUGAACGUUGGGAAAAAGACCUUUAAAACCAUUUUAAUUUAACUAUACAACACUAAUGUCUAUUGUGAAUUCAAUAUUUCUUCCUCUCUUAUUCUCCAAUGAAAUCCCUUCAAUUUCUCUAAUUGAAAAAAAAAGCCAGUCUCUCAAAAUUUAGCGUCUAAUUACCAACAGAGAACAAUAACAUAGCCAACAAUUUAAAUACAAUACAAGACAUUUUAUUAAACUAAGGACCUUGGUAGCUUCACUAUAGACUUUAAUUUAUCUAAAUACACAAUUUCAUUAAUUACAAAUAAGAUCCAAAAAUGACACAUUAUUAUUGUUCGGCCAUUCACAUUGUCAUCAUAAUUAUCCAGUGCUGCUAAUACUGUAACAAUUGUACUCAUGAAUAACAAUGCAAAGUGUAGGCAAAAACAGUCACUGUGUCAAAUUGUAAGUCAACCAUGGAAUUUUGUCAUAACUGUGUUGGAUGGUUUGUGGCAGUAUAAAUAUCAAAACUGGUCAAAUUGUAAGUCAAUUUUUCCAGUUCAAGGAAUGAAUUUGAAGUUCUAUUCUAGACCCUUUAUCUUAAUUUUUGUGAAGUAUCAAAUUGAGAUACUAAUGUCUAUGUGAUUAUGAGAAAGUUUUGGAGUCAAUGUUGUUUGUUUCUUUGUACUAUCAGGAGCCUUAGGAAUUAUAAUUUGCAAGGACCAAUUCCUGAUUUAAGCUUGAUACCGAACCUUCUUCUUUAUACGUAAGUUAUACAUUAAGAGAAGUGAUUGUUUGUGACAAGGUAAAUUUUUUUUGUAUAUUUUUGAAAUAAAGUCUAAUGUGAACUCUAAUUGCACUUAUCAUCCACUAAUUAUUAUCAAAUUUUCAGUGACCUUAGCUCCAAUCAAUUGAAUGAAUCAAUUCCUCCUAAUAAGCUUGCUCAAAAUAUCACAAUUGUGUGAGAUUCUCUGUCAUUCAAAUAAAAUUAUAGUACUAUAAAAUUUAGUAUAUUAAAAAUAUCUCUCUGUCUUGAAUAUGAAUUUGAACAAGCUUAAUUUAAGAGGACUAUUCUACCGCUUUACGGCCUCUCUGUAGAGUGUUUAUUUGUGGUGCGGUCUCUGAAUAUAUUGGUACUGGGAAUAGAGCAUCACCAAAUAUGAUGGACGUUGUGUAUAAGAGAAUCACCAUCAGAUGAUUUUUGGCUACUGAUUUUUUGAAUGUUUUUGCUGAAUUUUCUGCUAAAACAUUGGAUUAUCUUUGCAAUGGCCAGUUAGAGGUGAUUGAAGACAAGUCAUUGGGUGUAGAGAACAUCUCUUCUACUGGUUUGAUGUUUUAAGGGGAAGUAGGAAGUUCCCAUAGUGGGAUGUUUGACGAUGUUCUCACGUUUUCAGCUUUGUUUCAAGUGUAAAGCACUACAUAAUGAUAUUUGGUUAGAGAAAUAACUCUUGUCCUUACGUGAAACUACUUAUUAACAGUUGGCAAAAGCAUACACGAAUAGCCUUUAUCCUUCACUUCUUCCUAUCUCAUUUUUGCAUCAAAGCAAAUACUUUCCUUUUCUAACCAUUUAUUUACAAUUUUAGUGGAAUACCAAAUUAAAUAUUUAUCACUGAAGACUUAGAUUGUGGCCAUAUUCAGACUAGGUAAAAUAAUUUAAAUUAGUAAGAUUGUUGACAUAGAAUUCAGAAACUUCUUCCUUGUGAGUUGAAUAUUUAUAAUUUAAUUAAGUUAUUAUUUAUAAUUUUUUAGACAUAUCUCUAAAAUAUUAUCUUAAAAUUUAAGAUUUUAACAAUAGUUAUUAAAAAAUUGUUAGCAGAGAUGAAUGCUAAGCAGCAGACUAAAAAGUAGUGGUUAGAGUUAAAAGAUUAUUGUUUCAUUAGAAAAACACAUAUUAUGCAUGAUAUAAUUAAAUUUAUCAUUCAUAUUUACAAAUACAUAUAAAUAAAUUAUAUACCAAUUAAUAUUAAUGGACUCGUGCAGACUUUGAUUAACAAGACAAACAAACACUACUUAGCACUUGGGGCGGUUAGAGUUAACACAAAAGCGAUUGUAAUUUCUGGUCUUGAUUCCAUUGAUUUGUUAAAAUGUUAAAAUUUUACGGGUCACUAUUAACAUAAUACAUAUUUUUUAAAUGUUAAAAUUCUUUUUUAUUCUCUUUCCGUCUGUCAAUUUUUUUCUUUGUUUAAUUAUUUAAUAAUUAAGUAAUUCAUUUCAAAUUUAUUUGUAUUUAAAUAAUUUUAUACCAUAUCAAUUGCACGAUAGUAUAAUGUAUUUUUUAAUUUUAAUAAUAUUAAAAAUGUAUUUAUUGCACGGGUCACUAAC